UAGCCGGCCUGAGAGGGCGACCGGCCACACUGGGACUGAGACACGGCCCAGACUCCUACGGGAGGCAGCAGUGGGGAAUAUUGGGCAAUGGAGGAAACUCUGACCCAGCGACGCCGCGUGAGGGAUGAAGGCCUUCGGGUUGUAAACCUCUUUCAGUAGGGAAGAAGCGAAAGUGACGGUACCUACAGAAGAAGCACCGGCUAACUAUGUGCCAGCAGCCGCGGUAAUACAUAGGGUGCAAGCGUUGUCCGGAAUUAUUGGGCGUAAAGAGCUCGUAGGUGGUUCGAUACGUCGGAUGUGAAAAUCAGGGGCUCAACCCCUGACCUGCAUUCGAUACGGGCUAGCUAGAGUGUGGUAGGGGAGACUGGAAUUCCU
rnacentral:rRNA from 1 species